GCACCUCUGCGGUGUUCGUGAGCGGCUGGGUAUUAUCCUUGAGCCUAAUGAACUACCCCGGGAGCCACUCUGCAGUGAUGUUGUGCAUGUCCGCCACGUAGCGGAAAGCCUUGAUUCACUGCGACGGCACCCACUUGAACCGCUGGUUCAAGGUCGAAAGUCGCCACGGCAUUCGCGGAGCGUGU
rnacentral:other from 1 species